rnacentral:lncRNA from 1 species
AUCCCCACCCACCCGGCUCCCAGGAUCCUCAUUAGGAAGCCCUCAGGAGCCCUGGGGUGGGUCUCCUUGCCCUGUGAACGCUCCAUUUGUGUUAUUGAAUCCAACAUAAAUGCAGCAUUGUCUUCAGAGGUGAGCAAUGGCCGUGGCCGGAGGUGCGCAUGGGAUGCAGGCGGCGUGUGCUGCUGUUGAUUUUCUCUGCUCUGCUCUUAGCUUACUUUAGCAGAUAGUGGAGUUUCACGUGGCAGUCCGGUAAACCAAGGCAGUGUGAACAUCCCUUCCCCACAAUGAGUGAAAAUGCAGGAGGUGCCGUAGUGAGAACAGCGACAGCAUUCUGCGCAUUGGUGAGCCCGACUCCCCAGCCUCGGUGCCCACCGAAGCCCCCUCUGGCUGCACUGUGCCAGUGAGUCCAGGCUCCUUCUCAGCAGAAGGUGGCUGCUCUGCAGGGCCCCUCGCCUCCCUGCUCCUCAGGGGACCCGCACUCUUCCAUGUCCGUAGGGAGACGCGCACCGAGCUGGAGACACAGAUCUGCGAGGAGUAACUUGCCUCUCUCACCAGCACUGCCAGGGGCGGAUCAGCGCCAGCACCUUCCAGCAUGCGCUAAACUGCUGGAGAAGCUGGAGUGGCUGGAAGGAGCCCUGCCUGCCUGCCCUCCUCCUCCUCAGUUGCUGGCCUUGGCAGCUCUAGGGUGACCCAGCAGGGGCCUGGAGGAGUAGGAAGCAGCUUCCCAGCUGCAGUCUGCAUCAUCCUCUCUGUGCUGUCACAGAAUGGAAGGUUUUAGCAGAAAAAGGAGUUUGUAAGCGACAUUCAGAAGAUUUGGGCAGCAGUUUCUUCCCCCAUAGGGUCCUGUCUUUUGGGAGUGGGGAGUGCUGGGCCAGGCUGCUCGCUGGCUGUUUCACAGGUGGUGGAAUUUAAGAGCAGACUUGGGUCGAGCUGUGACCGUUCAGGUGAUGCACGCACAGGAGGUUCAGCUGUGUGCCUGUGAGGCGGGCAGGAGCGUCACCCAAGCUUCAGAAGAGAAUUCCCCGGCAGCAGCGUGGCGCUCAGCAUGUUCCGUGUCUGACUGUUUUGAUUGUCUCUCAGUCCAGUUGACAAAUUCCUUUUAAGAUGAAAUUUGAAUUAAUUUGCAGAACUUGUACAAAUCUCCAAGAAAACAGCUUAAGGAACAGAUUAAAGAAUGAAUGCCUUAGGAAUUAAAGCAUUAAUAGCUCUUGAGUAGACUGGAUGGAAAGAUGAGUUGUGUAGGUUAUCCAGAUGAGGCUACAUCCAGGGAGCAAUUCUUACCUUCAGAGGGCGCUGCCUGUCCUCCUUGGCAUCCAAGUGAGCGCAUCUCCUCCACGCUCAAUGAUGAAUGCUGGCCGGCAUCCCUGUGAGGAACCUUGUGAUCAUUUUCCAUUUCUGAAAACUCCCAGGUGGUGGGGGCCCUUGGCCCACAUCAGCAUUGACCACCCCGGGCUCAGAUCUGGCCAGGUGCCUGCGUUGUGAUGGGAAUUUCAGUACACUGAAUUUUGCCUCUGACCCUGAUGAAAUAGCUUCGGUGGCAUUUGCAUCAAGAUCAUGUUAGUGUCAUCUCUAUUAGAUGCUUUGGAGCAAACAUGAACUUGGGUUUCCUUUUAAGAUGUCCUGUGAUUCCAGAUUCAGGGGAAUCUGAGAAAAGUUUGAAGAAAGAAAAUUCCACUCGGCCAGCCAACCUUGGGUGUGCAGAGCCUGCCCCGCCUUCCCCACUUUGUCCUGAGAAGCUGGGUCCUCCCCAGCACCAGAGUUGCUGCUGCUUCCCCUCGCGCUCUUGGCUGCUCUCCCGGCCCCAAGCCUGAGUGACACUCUAGGAUUGCAGAUGGCAGGCUGGUCUCUGGGCUCCCCCGUCCCCAUGACCCUCCACCUGCACCCAGACCUCUGGGUCCUUGCUCAGGCAGCCCCUGCCCUCGGUGAGACGCAGCCCACUGUGGGCCCUUCCCCUGGGCCUGCCAUCAGCUCCUGUGCUCCUCGGCGCCCCAGCGGCUGCCCUGGGCCCGUUCCCACAGCACCUGGCACACAGCAGGAGCCAUGAAUGUUCUUUGGGAACUGAAUGAGGAGUGGAAAUGCGGGCAUGUCAUGUUUUUGAAGUUAAUAAAAAAAAUCCCUUAAAAGUUG